GCUGUUACUGGGGGGUUGGCUGCUCUCUUCCUGCACCUGCUCCUUGCUUAAAUCAUUCUCAGGCGUUUUACAUGGCUUGCCUGUCUCUGCAUUGGCAUUUUUAGGUACAUUAAUGCUCAUCUCCACCAGAUGGCUGUUACUUUCAUUGCCCAGGUUAUUGUCUGUACAAGGGCUUGAACAACGAGCCUGGCAGUUGGAAUGCAAUUGAGCUUUUCCAGCUUUCCCUUCUUGCUUAUUACAGACAACGGCCUCUGGCAAACAUUCAUUCUCCAUUUCAAUUGGGUCUGAUACCGAAAUGUGCAAACUAUCGAGAUCUUUGAUGGUCCCCAUCUUGUUUCAUGGUAACGUGGCGCUCUCACUAAACUGCCUGGGCUCUCCCUCUCUCUCUCCUCCUUACAAUGGGCUGUUUGUCUUUUGCUCAGAUCCUUGGGAGAUUGCCAUUUGAAAACGGAAGCUUUCCAGUCUGAAAAGGGGAAAAGUAAACCGUUUAGAAAAUGAAAAAUGCAGAUUACUAAGAACUACGCUUGAAUCAAAAAGGUCAGUCGUCUUACAUUUUAAAAUGACGACUAGCUUUUUAAUUUCAUUUCCAAAACUACUCUGAGCUCAGUCCAGCCUGAUUGUUCGGACCAGAGAAUGAGGAAGAUCGGGCGUAGUUUUGGUCAGCACUGGUCUCUCUGGGAGAAUGUGGGAUUACCUCCACCUCCUGGCCUUUGCGACGACCCCGGGCAAUAAGGCUUUGCCUGAAAAUUUCAGCGCCCCCACAAACACACAGAGCAGCAGCUAACCCGGUUCCCCGUCACUGUCAGAGCAAAGUGGCCGCAUUUUCCCCGUCUAAAACCGGGGACAGAUGGACUGACUCCCUCUGUUCCUCCUUAAACCAGGAACACGCAAACACGUUGGUUUGGAUGAAAUCUGUUGAGAAGGGGCUGGGGGAAUGGGCAGGGACCGAGUAAAGGAACUGACCUCGCCAGUCGAGAACCGGUAGCUCUCGCCUCCCCUCACUCAGCGAGCCUCCUUGUCGGCCUCCGGGGACCUUCCAGCACCGUAACCCCGCUGGAGGUCCGGGGGCUUUCCUGAAAGCAGGCUCUCGCCUUGUCCUUCCUCUUUGGGUUCUUCCCGCUUUACAUGCGGAGGGACUGCUUCACGCACUGUGCAGGAGGCAUCGGUCUCUGUGGAAACGUCCUCUUUUCUCUCUCUCUCUCUGUUGUGUUCCUUUCUUGACCCUUCAAUCGAUCAGCAUUUCAGCUCCCACUCCUAGAAAUAAAGAACAUGACCCGCACCACGCAGAACUAAAGUGCUAGCAACUUGGAUUAUUUAACGUGGGGAACAAAGAGUCGAUGGGAAUGGAUGCUGCGUGGGAUCGCCAUCGGUAAAGCGUGCGGUGUGACUGCAGCGUGUGUGUGUGUGUGGGAGUAUCUUUCCAAGUGGGAAUGGUGACACCACCUCCCCCUUUCCUCCCACCCCCUACAACCCUCAAUACGGUUUCAGGUUCAUUUUGUUUUGACUGGAAUGAAUGAUUUGGCGGGGUAUUUCCAAGUUUCCUGCCGAUUCCAAAUAUGUUUGGGAAAGAUCUGCGUCGGCACAGCGUGCCAGAGAUUAGGAUUCAAAGGAAAUGGAGAGAAUUGACUCAUUGACCAGCGGAAAUUUUUUUAUCACGUCUUCGCACAACCGUAGGAAUUAAAAGACGCUCCCAUUUAAGAGUUUAAAUGUGCAGUGGGAGUCGACGGGGCUGGGGGUUGGGUAGUUGUUCAGGGAUCAGGAAGAGUCUGGAAAGCGUUCCUAAAUUCCAGACAAUCUCCUUGAUCGCAACCACAUGGAAGCUCAUCAGUAAAGUGAACCCUUCCGUGUGUUUCUCAACCAGCCUAAAGGCGAUGACAGAAACAUAACACAAGGUUGAAGAGAAUUGGAAUACUCAUAGAUCAGGCAAUAACUCCGAAUCGUUUAUUGAAGGCUAUUAUCCUGGAUUUGGUGCUGAACCAGGAACUCGGAUUGUUUCCUAUGUUUUGUUUUCUUGCGUUAACGUGCCAAAUGUUUAUUUGCCAGUGCAUCAACGUUAGCACUGGUCGCCACAUCAAUCAUGCUUUCGAAAAGGCUGUAUGUGUACGUGUGUUUCCUUCUCUGACAUCCUCGUGAUUAAAAUGAAUUUAUCAAUCCUGAACUGAAAGUAACCAGUGGAUAGAUUUGAGAAUAUUAUGCAUAUAUCCGUUCCAGCUAAUGAAAUAGUAACUGCAAGCCUGGCUCAGCGAUUAGCUUGUAAACUGCAAAUACCACGAAACUGGCAUUUAAUACUGGAGUCUAUAUUAGCAGUCGUGCCCAGAAAUCGAUUGUGAAUGACACAUUUCAAAUAAUUAAUCGUUAUAUUGUUUAGUGCAGGGUAAAUCCGCCAACAGAAGCAACUGGGGAAAAUCUCAGACCAUACCUAGAUAAUCAGUGCCUGUUUUAAACACAUUUUACUGGACAGAUUUGCAACAGAUAAGUCGGUGGAUGAGAAAAACCUCUGGAUCAACAUCAAUCGACAUUCUGAGUAAUGUAAAUGAUUUUAGAAGCCAUACAUUUUGUAAGUGAAAGGAAACCUGUCACACCAUGAAGUGAGUGCACAAGCAAACAGAGAUUGAGACAUCGUAAAUGCAUUGCAAACUUCCUGUUAGUCCACAGCCACAUGUGUAGUGCAGAGAUGGGUUUGGGUGUUGUAUCGGAAUGCUCACUUCUUAUUACAAGAAGUUGUACGUGGAAGCCAUUGGAUCGUGACAGCGGUGGAAGGAUGAAGAUUUGAUUUCCCGAUAUUUAGGGAUAUUGCUGAAUAUAUUAGGGCACAGCCAUCAGCUAAAAACAUCAGCCUGUUAACACCACUGAAAUGAAUUCGGCUGCUUCAACACAGUUGCAGUGUGGAGAUUAUGCCAGUGCCAUGUUGUAAAAUCCACAUAAUAAAAACUCCACCUGGACGUAAUGCUGCAGAUUUGCAAAACCAAUCAUGAACAUAAUCCUGGCUCGACUACUAUCUAUUUUAACACUUGAAUACCACUAUUCUUACGAACGAAACUGAUAAAAAGAAAGUAACGGGCUCGGUCUGGUUGCACCAGAUGAGGAAAAAAAAUCCUCGGGAACUGGAAUACCUGAAAGUACUGAACUCCUUUACUCAUAAUAACUUUAGUUUCAUGAUUUAAUCUUACAGCAGGUUACUCUGACACAAACUUAGUCUUCAGCUAAAAUACGGUACUGAUGAGCACAUUCUUGCUACGAAACUUAGAAUGUGCAAGUCUAAAAAUCAACUUUUCCAAAACAAGUUGGGCAACAUUCCUCCCCCGACUGAAUUAAUCCAAAACAUUGACCAACAGCAUGAAACGCUUCAGGUAGCAUAACGACGUCAAAAUUGUUAUAUUUGAAGGGUCCAGUUCUGAAAUGUCAGCUUUCCUGCUCCCCUGAUGCUGCUUGGCCUGUUGUGUUCAUCCAGCUCUACACCUUGUUAUCUCAGAUUCUCCAGCAUCGGCAGGUCCUACUAACUUUGUGCUAUGCCAACACCAUUUGAAGUCAACACAAGUACUAAAGACGAGAACUACCAACGUGUUUAAUGACAAAAUUAAAAUUACGCAUGCUUCUCAAGUGUGAUAUCCAGCAAGAGAAAGAAGCGUCCACUACAGCAGUCCUCUCAAGAUGAUUUGGAACAAAAUACUAUUUGUGUCUAAUUAAUGUUUCUUUUCUGUCAUUUCACUCUUGUUGGGAUUUAAAAAUGUAAAUUUUAUGAGUUAUAACAUACAACAUGUAAAUGCCAUCAUCUAGGUGAUCACUACCUGACAAAAAAAACUACACAUCCUACAGGAAAGUUUUAUACAUCUGUAAAAUGCUUUUGAUAAAUCAUGCUGAUUAUUUUGUUUAUUUGUCUGUGGAAAUGUGAUGAGAUGGCUUCAAGUCUAGUUAUUAUAGUUGUUUA